CCUACGGGAGGCAGCAGUAAGGAAUAUUGGUCAAUGGACGCAAGUCUGAACCAGCUAUGCCGCGUGAAGGAUGACGGCCCUCUGGGUUGUAAACUUCUUUUAUCUGGGACGAAAAAAGCUCUUUCUAGAGCACUUGACGGUACCAGAGGAAUAAGCACCGGCUAACUCCGUGCCAGCAGCCGCGGUAAUACGGAGGGUGCAAGCGUUAUCCGGAUUUACUGGGUUUAAAGGGUGCGUAGGUGGGCAGGUAAGUCAGUGGUGAAAUCUCCGAGCUUAACUCGGAAACUGCCAUUGAUACUAUCUGUCUUGAAUUAUCUGGAGGUGAGCGGAAUAUGUCAUGUAGCGGUGAAAUGCUUAGAUAUGACAUAGAACACCAAUUGCGAAGGCAGCUCACUACGGAUAUAUUGACACUGAGGCACGAAAGCGUGGGGAUCAAACAGGAUUAGAUACCCUGGUAGUCCACGCCCUAAACGAUGGAUACUCGACAUCAGCGAUACACUGUUGGUGUGUGAGNGAAGANAUAAGUAAUCCACCUUGGAGUAGAGUUGCGAGAGUUAGAAGUUAAAUUAGAGUUAGAGGCGNGAGAGNGCGACGGACGACACGAGGGAGGAGG
rnacentral:rRNA from 1 species